AUUGAACGCUGGCGGCAGGCUUAACACAUGCAAGUCGAGCGGGGAAGGGUAGCUUGCUACCUAACCUAGCGGCGGACGGGUGAGUAAUGCUUAGGAAUCUGCCGUUUAGUGGGGGACAACAUUCCGAAAGGAAUGCUAAUACCGCAUACGUCCUACGGGAGAAAGCAGGGGAUCUUCGGACCUUGCGCUAAAUGAUGAGCCUAAGUCGGAUUAGCUAGUUGGUGGGGUAAAGGCCUACCAAGGCGUCGAUCUGUAGCGGGUCUGAGAGGAUGAUCCGCCACACUGGGACUGAGACACGGCCCAGGCUCCUACGGGAGGCAGCAGUGGGGAAUAUUGGACAAUGGGCGGAAGCCUGAUCCAGCCAUGCCGCGUGUGUGAAGAAGGCCUUAUGGUUGUAAAGCACUUUAAGCGAGGAGGAGGCUACUUAGAUUAAUACUCUAGGAUAGUGGACGUUACUCGCAGAAUAAGCACCGGCUAACUCUGUGCCAGCAGCCGCAGUAA
rnacentral:rRNA from 1 species